rnacentral:lncRNA from 1 species
UAAGAAACAAGAACACUAAUAAAACUAUCAAUCUUCUCAAUUCUUAAUAACAAUAUACAAAAUUUAGCAAAACAAGAACACUAAUAACACUAUCAAUCUUCUCAUUUCUUGAUAACAAUAUACAAAAUUUAACAAAACAAGAACACUAAUAACACUGUCAAUCUUCUCAUUUCUUGAUAACAAUAUACAAAAUUUAGCAAAACAAGAACACUAUCAAUCUUCUCAUUUUUUGAUAACAAUAAAGAAAAUUUAGCAAAACAAGAACACUAAUAACACUAUCCAUCCUUUCAUUUCUUGAUAACAAUAUACAAAAUUCAGCAAAACAAGAACCCUAAUAACACUAUCAAUCUUCUCAUUUCUUGAUAACAAUAUACAAAAUUCAGCAAAACAAGAACACUAAUAACAGUAUCAAUCCUCUCAUUUCUUGAUUACAAUAUACAAAAUUUAGCAAAACAAGAACAUUAAUAACAUUAUCAAUCUUCUCAUUUCUUGAUAACAAUAUACAAAAUUUAGCGAAACAAGAACACUACUAACACUAAAUCAAUCUUCUCAUUUCUUUUAAUAAACAAUAUACAAAAUUUAGCAAAACAAGAACACUAAUAACAUCUAAUCAAAUCUUCUCAAUUUCUGAUGUAACAAUAUACAAAAUUUAGCAAACCAAGAACAUAAUAACACUAUCAAUCUCUCAUCAUUUCUUGAUAAACAAUAUACAAAUUUUAUGCAAAACAAGAAACACUAAUAAACACUAUCAAUCUUUCCAUUUCUUGAUAACAAUAUACAAAAUUUAGCGAAACAAGAACAAUAAUAACACUACACAAUCUUUAUUCUGAAUAAACAAUAUACAAAAUUUAGCAAAACAAGAACCAUCUAAUAAGCAUUCUAUCAAAUCUUCUCAUUUCUUGAUAACAAUAUACAAAAUUUAGCAAACUAGAUACACUAAUACACUAUCAAUCUUUCUCAUUUCUUUGAUAACAAUAUAUCUACUAAAUAUUAGCAAAAACAAGAACACUAAUAACAAAUGUAUCAAUCCUCUCAUUUCUUAAUAACAAUCUAAAUAAAAUUUAGCAAACAAGACAAUAACACUUCAAUCCUCUCAUUCUGAUAACAAACAUAUAACAAACAAACACUAAUCACUAUCAAUCUUCUGCAUUUCUUGAUGAACAUAUACAAAAUUUUAGCAAAACAAGACACUAAUAACACAUAUCAAUCUUCUCAUUUUUGAUAACAAUAUACAAAUUAAAAAAAACCAAGAACACUAAUAACACUAUCAAUCUUCUCAUUUCUUAUAACAAUGAUACUAAAAUUUAGCAAAACAAGAACACUAAUAACACAUAUCAAUCUUCUGACUUUCUUGAUAACAAUAUAAAAAAAUUUAGCAGAAACAGAACACUAAUAAACUAUCAAUCUUCUCAUUUUCCUUAAUAACAAUAUACAAAUUUAAAAACAAGAACACUAAAUAACACUAUCAAUCUUCAUUUCUUGAUAAACAAUAUCAAAAUUAGCAAAACAACAUUAAUAACACUAGUCAUCUCUCAUUUCUUGAUACAAUAUACAAAUUUAGAAAAACAAGAACACUAUACACUAUCAUCUUCUCAAAUUUUCUUGAUAACAAUAUACAGAAAUUUAGCCAAUAACAAGAACACUAAUAACACUAUCAUCUCUCAUUUCUUGAUACAAUAUAUCAAAAUUCGCAAUACAAAGAAACUAUAACACUAUCAACUUCUCAUUCUUGAUAACAAUAUACAAAUUAGGCAAACACAAAACACUAAUAACACCUAUCAAUCUCUCAUUUCUUGAUAACAUAUACAAAAUUUAGCAAAACAAGAACAUAUAACAUUAUCCAUCUUCUCAUUUCUUGAUAACAAUAUACAAAUUUACGAAACAAGAACACUAAUAACACUAUCAAUCUUCCUCAUUUUUGAAUCAACAAUAUACAAAAUUUAGCAAAACAAGAAACUAAUAACACUAUCAAUCUUUCUCAUUUCUUGAUAAAAUAUACAAUUUAGCAAAAACAGAAGCACUAAUAACACUAUCAAUUGUCCUCAUUUUCUUUGAUAACAAAUACAAAAUUUAGCAAAAACAAGAACACUAUAACACUAUCAAUCUUCCAUUUCUUGAUAACAAAUACAAAUUUAGCAAAACAAGAACAAUAAUAACACUUCAAUCUUCUUUCCUUGAUAACAAUAUACAAAAUCUAGCAAAAAAGAACACUAAUAACACUAUCAAUCUUCUGUUCUUUUGAUAACAAUAUACAAAUUUGCAAAACAGAGAACACUAAUAACACUUCAUCUUCUCAUUUUUCAUAACAAUAUACAAAUUUACAAACAAGAACAUAAUAACAUAUCUAUCUUCUCAAUUUUCUUUGAUAACAAUAUACAAAUUUAGCAAAACAAGAACAUAAUAACACUAUCAAUCUUCUCAUUUCUGAUAACAAUAUACAAAAUUUAGCAAAACAAGAACAAAUAACAUAUCAAUCUUCUAUUUCUUGAUAACAAUAUACAAAUUUAGCAAAACAAGAACACUAAUAACACAAAUCUUCUCAUUCUUGAUAAAUAUACAAAAUUUAGCAAAACAAGAAACACUAAUAACAUUAUCAAUUCUCUCAUUUCUUAAUAACAAUACAUAAUUUAGCAAACAAGAACAUAAUAACACUGCUUCAUCUCUCAUUCUUGAUAACAAUAUACAAAAUAUAGCAAAACCAGAAACACUAAUACACUCAUCAAUCUUCUCAUUUCUUGAUAACAAUAUACAAAAUUUGCAACAGAACAUAAUACACUAUCAAUCUUCUCAUUUCUUGAUUAACAUAUACAAAAUUUAAAAAAAAACAAGAACACUAAUAACACUAUAUCUCUCAUUUCUUGAUAACAAUAAUACAAAAUUUAGCAAAACAAGACACUAAUAACAUUCAAUCUUCUCAUUUCUUGAUAAACAAUAUAAAAAAUUUAGCAAAACAAGAACAUAAUAACUAUCAAUCUUCUCAUUUCUUAAACAAUAUACAAAAUUUAGAAAAACAGAACACUAAUAACAUAUCAUCUUCUCAUUUCUUGAUAACAAUAUACAAAUUUAGCAACAAGAACACUAAUAACACUUCAAUCUUCUCAUUUUUGAUAACAAUAUACAAAAUUUAGCAAAACAAGAACACUAUCAAUCUUCUCAUUUUUGAUAACAAUAUACAAAAUUUAGCAAAACAAGAACACUAAUAACACUAUCAUCUCUCAUUUCUGAUAACAAUAUACAAAAUUCAGAACAAACAAGAAGCUUCAUUCUUGAUAACAACUAUCAUUCCAACAAGACAUAUCAUUCCAUGUCUGAUAAAUGAAAAUUUCUAAGCAAAUCAAGACACAAUAAACAUCCACUACAUUUGAACAAUUUUACGAACAAGAAAUGAUACACUCUCCAAUUCUCAUUCUGAUAACAAUAUACAAAUUUAGAAAACAAGAACUUAUCAAUCCUCUCAUUUCUUGAUAACAAUAUACAUAAUUUAGCAAAACAAGAACACUAAUAACACUAUCAAUCUUCUCAUUUCUUGAUAACAAUAUACAAAAUUUAGAAAAACAAGAACACUAAUAACACUAUCAAUCUUCACAUUUCUUGAUAACAAUAUACAUAAUUUAGCAAAACAAGAACAAUAAUAACACUCUCAGUCCUCUUUUUUCUUGAUAAUAAUAUACAAAAUUUAACAAAAGAAGAACACUAAUAACACUAUCAAUCUUCUGAUUUCUUGAUAACACUAUACAAAAUUUAGCAAAACAAGAACACUAAUAACACUGUCAAUCUUCUCAUUUCUUGAUAACAAUAUACAAAAUUUAGCAAAACAAGAACACUAUUAAUCUUCUCAUUUUUUGAUAACAAUUUACAAAAUUUAGCAAAACAAGAACACUAAUAACACUAUCCAUCCUCUCAUUUCUUGAUAACAAUAUACAAAAUUCAGCAAAACAAGAACCCUAAUAACACUAUCAAUCUUCUCAUUUCUUGAUAACAAAAUUUAGCACAAACAAGAACACUAAUAAACACUAUCAAUCUUUCUUGAUAACAAUAUACAAAAUUCAGCAAAACAAGAACACUAAUAACACUAUCAAUCUUCUCAUUUCUUGAUAACAAUAUACAAAAUUCAGCAAAACAAGAACACUAAUAACACUAUCAAUCCUGUCAUUUCUUGAUAACAAUAUACAAAAUUUAGCAAACCAAGAACAUUAAUAACAUUAUCAAUCUUCUCAUUUCUUGAUAACAAUAUACAAAAUUUAGCAAAAUAAGAACACUAAUAACACUAUCAAUCUUCUUAUUUCUUGAUAACAAUAUACAAAAUUUAGCAAAGCAAGAACACUAAUAACACUAUCAAUCUUCUCAUUUCUUGAUAACAAAAUAGAAAAUUUAGCAAAACAAGAACACUAAUAACAAUAUCAAUCCUCUCAUUUCUUGAUAACAAUAUACAUAAUUUAGCUAAACAAGAACACUAUCAAUCUUCUCAUUUCUUGAUAACAAUAUACAAAAUUUAGCAAAACAAGAACACUAAUAACACUAUCAAUCCUCUCAUUUCUUAAUAACAAUAUACAAAAUUCAGCAAAACAAGAACCCUAAUAACACUAUCAAUCUUCUCAUUUCUUGAUAACAAUAUACAAAAUUCAGCAAAACAAGAACACUAAUAACACUAUCAAUCCUCUCAUUUCUUGAUAACAAUAUAAAAAGUUUAGCAAACAAGAACACAAUAACACUAUCAAUCUUCUCAUUUCUUAAUACAAAUAUAGAAAAUUUAGCAAAACAAGAACACUAAUAACACUAAUCAAUCUCUCUCUUUCUUAGAUAACAAUAUACACAAAUUUUAGCAAAACAAGAACACUAAUAACAUUAUCAAUCUUCUCAUUUCUGAUAACAAUUAGACAAAUUUAGCAAAACAAGAACACUAUAUAACACUAUCAAUCUUUCUCAUUUCUUGAUAACAAUAUACAAAAUUAUAAAAACAGAAACACUAAUAACACUAUCAAUCUUCUCAUUUCUUGAUAACAAUAUAACAAAAUUUAGCAAAACAAGAACACUAAUAACACUAUCAAUCUUCUCAUUUCUUGAUAAAAAUAGCAAAAUUAGCAAAACAAGACACUAUAACAACUAUCAAUCUUCUCAUUUCUUAAUAACAAUAUACAAAUUUAGCAAAAAGAACACUAAUAACACUAUCAAUCUUUCCAUUUCUUGAUAACAAUAUACAAAAUUGCAAAACAAGAACACUAAUAACACUCAAUUCUUCUCAUUUCUUGAUAACAAUAUACAAAAUUUAGCAAAACAAGAACACUAUCAAUCUUCUCAUUUCUUGAUAACAAUAUACAAAAUUUAGCAAACAAGAAACACUAAUAACACUAUCAUCUCUCAUUUCUUGAUAACAAUAUACAAAAUUCAGCAAAACAAGAACCUAAUAACAUAUCAAUCUUCUCAUUUCUUGAUAACAAUAUACAAAAUUCAGCAAAACAAGAACAUAAUAACUAUCAAUCCUCUCAUUCUUGACAACAAUAUACAAAAUUAAGGCAAAACAAGAACAUUAAUAACAUUAUCAAUCUUCUCAUUUCUUGAUAACAAUAUACAAAAUUUAGCGAAACAAGAACACUAAUAACACUAUCAAUCUUCUCUUUUUUCUUAAUAACAAUAUACAAAAUUUAGCAAAACAAGAACACUAAUAACACUAUCAAUCUUCUCAUUUCUUGAUAACAAUAUACAAAAUUUAGCAAAAACAAGAACACUAAUAAACACAUCAAUCUUCUCAUUUCUUGAUAACAAUAUACAAAAUUUAGCAAAGCAAAGAACACUAAUAACACUAUCAAUCUUCUCAUUCUUGAAUAACAAAAUAGAAAAUUUAGGCAAAACAAGAACACUAAUAACAUCAAUCCUUCAUUUCUUGAUAACAAUAUACAAAUUUAGCAAAACAAACACUAAUAACAUAUCAACCUCAUUUCUUGAUAACAAUAUACAAAAUUUGCAAAACAAGAACACUAUAUUAACACUAUCAAUUUCUCAUUUCUUAAUAACAAUAUACAAAAUUUAGCAAAAAAAACAAAACAUAAUAACACUAUCAAUCUCUCAUUUCUUGAUAACAUAUACAAAAUUUGGCAAAACAAGAACACUAAUAACACUAUCAAUGCUUCUUCAUUUCUUGAUAACAAAUAUACAAAUUUAAAAACAAGAACACUAUAACAACUAUCAAUCUUCUCAUUUCUUGAUAACAAUAUACAAAAUUUAGCAAAACAAGAAACUAAUAACACUAUCAAUCUUCUCAUUUCUUGAUAACAAUAUCAAAAUUUAGCAAAACAAGAACACUAUAACACUAUCAAUCUUCUCAUUUCUUAAUAACAAUAUACAAAAUUUAGCAAAACAAGAACACUAAUAACACUAUCAAUCUCUCAUUUCUUGAUAACAAUAUACAAAAUUUAGCAAAACAAGAACACUAAUAACACUUCAAUCUUCUCAUUUCUUGAUAACAAUAUACAAAAUUUAGCAAACAAGAACACUAAAACACUAUCAAUCUUCUCAUUUCUUGAUAACAAUAUAAAUUUAGCAAAACAAGAACACUAAUAACAACAUCUCAUCCUCUAUUUCUGAUAACAAUAUACAAAAUUCAGCAAACAAGAACCCUAAUAACACUAUCAAUCUUCUCAUUUCUUGAUAACAAUAUACAAAAUUCAGAAACAAGAACACUAAUAACACUAUCAAUCUUCUCAUUUCUUGAUAACAAUAUAAAAUUUAGCAAAAACAAGAACAUUAAUAACAUUAUCAUCUUCUCAUUUCUUGAUACAAUAUACAAAAUUUAGCAAAAAAGAACACUAAUAACACUAUCAAUCUUCUCAUUUCUUGAUAACAAUAUACAAAAUUUAGCAAACAAGAAACUAAAACACUAAUAAUCUCUCAUUUCUUGAUAACAAUAUACAAAAAUUAUAGAAAACAAGAACACUAUCAAUCUUCCUCAUUUUUUGAUAACAAUAUCAAAAUUUAGCAAAACAGAACACUAAAACACUAUCUCUUCUCAUUUCUUGAUAACAAUAUACAAUUCGCAAAACAAGAACACUAAUAACACUAUCAAUCUUCUCAUUUCUUGAUAACAAUAUACAAAAUUUAGCAAAACAAGAACACUAAUAACACUAUCAAUCCUCUCAUUUCUUGACAACAAUAUACAAAAUUUAGCAAAACAAGAACAUUAAUAAACUAUCAAUCUUCUCAUUCUUAUAACAAUAUACAAAAUUUAAGCGAAACAAGAACACUAAUAACACUAUCAAUCUUCUCAUUUCUAUAAUAACGAAUAUACAAAAUUUAGCAAAAAAGAAAACACUAAUAACACUAUCAAUCUUCUCAUUUCUUGAUAACAAUAUACAAAAUUACAAAACAGAACAACUAAUAACACAUCAAUUUUCUCAUUUCUUGAUAACAUAUACAAAAUUUAGCCAAAAGCAAGAAACACUAAUAAACUAUCAAUCUUCUCAUUUCUUAAUAACAAUAAUAGAAAAUUUAGCAAAACAAGAAACACUAAAACACUAUCAAUCAUCUCAUUUCUUAAUAAACAAUACANNNNNNNNNNNNNNNNNNNNNGGCAAAAAAAGAAGGGAGAGGAGGGAGGAGUAGAGGGAAUAUAUAUCUGCAACAUACAGCCAGGAGAGUAUUAUAUUUAAUUUUAAUAUAGAGAGAAUUCACACACAUUACAGUAAGUAACUCAAUAUAUAUAAAUUAACAACAUCUCUAUAUGUAUUAUAAUAUACACAUAUAAUCUAUAUAUUAUCUCAAUCUAGUAUCACUAAUUAGAUAUCACUUAGAUCACAUACACCUUAUAACUCACAAAAAGAAUAUUUUAUAUAUAUAGCGCGAGAGAUAUAUAUACCACUCACUAGAAAAUACACAAAUCACAAAUUAUGACACCACUAUAUUCUUUCACAAAUGAGUUGACAUUAUAUAUAUAAAUACUAAAUAUUGUGUAGCAACAAUGAUAUAAUACUCACGCUUAUAAAUAACAUCUAUAGUAAGAAAGAAGAAAUAUUUAUGAAUAAACAAUCAUUGCUAUAUAAUAAUGAGAGAGUGCACAACACAUAAUAUAGGAACAUCAAUAUAGUAACAACAUAAUUCGGAUUAUGUCUCUCUCUAUAUGCUCAUAAUUUAUGCGUAUUAGAUAUAAAAAUAAUACAAAUAGCUUCUCACAUGCAAUAAAUGCAGGAUCACAAAUAUAUAUUAACACUAGUAAUCACAAACUUACUUACUCAUUUUUCUUGAAUAACUAAAUAUAUAACUUUUAAAGCACAUAACCACACGUAUAUUCACCUAAUAAACACUAUCAAUCUCUCAUUUCUUGAUAACAAUAUACAAAAUUUAGCAAAAACAAGAAACAACUAUAAUAACAUUAUCAAUUCGCUCUCAUUUCUUGAAAACAAUAUACAUAAUUUAGCAAAACAAGAACAAUAAAACACUCUCAAUCCUCUCAUUUCUUAAUACAAUAUACAAAAUUUAAGAAAAAGAAGAAACACUAAUAACACUAUCAAUCUCUGAUUUCUUGAUAACAAUAACAAAAUUAGCAAAACAAGAACACUAAUAACACUAUCAAUCUUCUCAUUUUCUUAUAACAAUAUACCAAAAUUUAAGCAAAACAAGAAACACUAAUAACACUAUCAAUCUUCUCAUUUCUUGAUAACAAUAUACAAAAUUUAGCAAAACAAGAACACUAAUAAACACUAUCAAUCUUCUCAAUUCUUGAUAACAAUAUACAAAAUUAAAAAAACAAAAGAACACUAAUAACACUAAUCAAUCUUCUCAUUUCUUGAUAACAAAUAUACAAUUUAAAAAACAAGAACACUAAUAACACUAUCAAUCUCUCAUUUCUUGAUAACAAUACUACAAAUUGCAAAACAAGAACACUAAUAACACUCAAUCUUCUCAUUUCUUAUAACAAUAAAAAAUUUAGCAAACAAGAACACUAAUAACACUAUCAAUCUUCUAUUUCUUGAUAAACAAUAUAAAAAAUUUAGCAAAAUAAAAACACUAAUAACACUAUCAAUCUUCUCAUUUCUUGAUAACAAUAUAAAAAAUUUAGCAAAAACAGAGACACUAAUAACACUAUCAAUCUUCUCAUUUCUUGAUAACAAUAUACAAAAUUUAGCAAAACAAAGAACACUAAUAAAACUAUCAAUCUUCUCAUUUCUUGAAUAACAAAUACAGAAUUUUAGCAAAACAAAGAACACUAAUAACACUAUCAAUCCUCUCAUUUCUUGAUACCAAUAUACAAAUUUAGCAAAACAAGAACACUAAUAAACUAUCAAUCUCUCAAUGUUCUUGAUAAUACAAUAUAUAAAUUUAGCACAAACAAGAACACUAAUAAACACUAUCAAUCUCUCAUUUCUUGAUAACAAUUACAAAUUUAGCAAAACAAGAACGUACUAAUAACACUAUCAAUCCUCAUUUCUUGAUAACAAUAUACAAAUUAGGAAACAAGAACACUAAUAACACUAUCAAUCUUAAUUUCUUGAUAACAAUAUACAAAAUUAGCAAAACAAGAACACUAAUAACACUAUCAUCUUCUCAAUUUCUUGAUAACAAAUAAUACAAAAAUUUAGCAAACAAGAACACUAAUAACACUAUCAAUCUUCUAAUUUCUUGAUAACAAUAUACAAAAUUUAGGAAAAAAGACAUGAUAACAUAUCAAUCUUCUCAUUCUUUUGAUAACAAAAUACAAAUUUAAGCAAAGCAAAGAACACUAAUAAAACUUCAAUUUCUCAUUUCUUGAUAACAAAAUAGAAAAAUUUUAGCAAAACAAGAACACAAAUUACUAUCAUCUUCUCAUUUCUUGAUAACAAUAUAUCAAAAUUAGCAAAACAAGAACAGCUAUAACAUUAAUGCAAUCCUCUCAUUUCUUGAUAACAAUAUACAUAAUUAGCAAAAACCAAGAAACACUAAUCAUCUUCUCAUUUCUUGAUAAUAAUAUACCCAAAAUUUAGCAAAACAGAACCAAUAACACUAUCGAUCCUCUCCCUUUCUUGAUAACAAAUAAAGUACGAAAUUCAGCAAAAAAGAACGCUAAUAACUACUAUCAGAUCUUCUCAUUUCUUGAUAACAAUAUACAAAAUUCAGCAAAACAAGAACACUAAUAACAUUAUCAAUCCUCUCAUUCUUGAUCAACAAAUAUAACAAAAUUUAGCAAAACAAGAACAUUAAUAACAUUAUCAAAUCUUUCCAUUUCUUGAUAACAAUAUAGAAAAUUUAGGCGAAACAAGAACACUAUAACACUAUCAAUCAUCCUUUCAUUUCUAAUAAUAAUAUAAAAUUUAGCAAAACAAGAACAACUAAAUAACACGUCAAAUCUUCACAUUUCUUGAUAAACAAUAUACAAAAUUUAGCAAAACAAGAACACUAAUAACACUAAUCGAUCUUCUCAUUUUCUUGAUAACAAUAUACAAAAUUUAAAGCAAAGCAAGACCACUAAUAACACUAUCCAAGCUUCUCAUUUCUUGAUAACAAAAUAGAAAAUUUAGCAAAACAAGAACACCUGAAUACACUAUCAUCCUUCUCAUCUCUUGAUAACAGUAUAUCAAAACUUUAGCAAAACAAGAACACUAAUAACAUUAUCAAUCCUCUCAUUUUCUUGAUAACAAUAUACAUAAUUUAGCAAAACCAAAACAAUAUACAACACUCUCAAUCCUCUCAUUUCUUAAUAACAAUAUACAAAAUUUAAGAAAAGAAGAACACUAAUGACACUAAUCAAUCUUCUGAUUUCUGAUAAACAAUCUACAAAAUAUAGCAAAACAAAGAACAUAAUAACACUAUGCAAAUCUUCUCAAUUUCUCAUAACAAUUAACAAAAUUUAGCAAAACAAAACACUAAAUAACACUAUCAUCUUCUCAUUUUUUGUACAAUAUAACAAAUUUAGCAAAACAAAGAACACUAAUAACACUAAUCAAUGCUUCUCAUUUCUUGAUACAAUAUACAAAAUUUUAGGCAAAACAAGAAACUAUAACACUAUCAAUCUUUCUCUAUUUCUUGAUAACAAUAUACAAAAUUUUUAAAAAAUAACAAGAACACAAUAACACUAUCAAUUUCUCAUUUCUCCUUGAUAACAAUAUACAAAAUUUAGCAAAACAAAAACACUAAUAACACUAUCAAUCUUCUAAUUUCUUGAUAAGCAAAUAUAAUCAAAAUUUUAGCAAAACAAUAACACUAAUACACUAUCAAUCUUCUCAUUUCUUUCUUGAUAACAAUAUACAAAACUUAAAAAAACAAAGAACACUAAUAAACACUACAUCUUCUCAUUUUUGAUAACAAAUUUACAAAACUUUAAAAAAACAAAAAACUAAUAACACUAUCAAUCUUCUCAUUUCUGAUAACAUAGAUAAAAUUUUGCAAAAACAACGAACACUAAUAACUACUGUCACUCUUCUCAUUUCUGAUAAACAAUAUACAAAAUUUAGCAAAACAAGAACACUAAUAACACUAUCAAUCUUCUGAUUUUCUUGAUAACAAUUUAUACAUAAUUUUGGCCAAAUAAAAACCUAAUAACACUAUAAAUCUCUUCAUUUCUUGAUAACGAUAUAAAAACUUAGCAAAAACAAGGACACUAAUAACACUAUCAAUCUUCACUUUCCUUGAUAUACAAUGAUACAAAAUUUAGCAAAACAGAAACACUAAUACAAAAACUAUCAAUCUUCUCAUUUCUUGAUAACAAUAACAGAAUUUUGCAAAACAAGAACAUUGAUAAACUAUCAAUCCUCUCAUUUCUUGAUAACAAUAUAACAAGAAUUUAGCCAAAAAAAGAACACUAAUAAACUCUAAUCCUCCAAUUUCUUGAUAAUAAUAUCAUAAAAUUUUAGCAAAACAAGAAACCAUAACACUAUCAAUCCUCUCAUUUAUUGAUAACAAUGUAACAGAAUUUAUCAAAGAACAAGAACACUAUAACACUUAUCAAUCCUCUUCAUUUCUGAUAACAAUUAGCAAAUUGCAGUAACAAAACAAGAAUACUAAUAUACUACUCUCAUCUUCUUCAUUUCUGAUAUACUAUAUUAUCAUAAAUUCAGCAAAACAUAGAACACUAUAACACUAUCAUCCUCUCAAUUUCUUGAAUAACAACAUACAAAAUUUAGCAAAACAAGAACAUUAAUAACAUUUAUCAAGUCUUCUCAUUUCCUUGAUAACAAUACUACAAAAUUUAGCAAAAACAAGAACACUAAUAACGAAUUUUCAAUUCUUUUUCAAUUUCCUUGAUUAACAAUAUACAAAAUUUAGCAGAAGCAAGAACAGACUAAUAAACUGAUCAAUCUUCUCAUCUUCUGAUAACAAAAAUAGAAAAUUUAGCAAAACAGAAGAAACACUAAUAACACUAAUCAUUCCUUCUCAUUUUCUUGAUAACAAUAUACAAAAAUUUAGCAAAACAGAACACUAAUAACAAUUAUCAUCCAAUCAUUUUCUUGAUAACAAUAUAUCAAAAUUUAGCAAACAAAAACAACUAAUAACACAAUCAAUCCUCCUCAUUUUCUUGAUUUAACAAUAUACAAAAUUCAGCAAAACAAGAACAGCCUAAUAACACUAUCAAUCUUUCAAUUUCUUAAUAACAAUAUACAAUUCAGCAAAACAAGAACACUAAUAACACUAUAUCCUCGUCAAUUUUCUUGAUAACAAUAUACAAUUUAAGCAAAAACAAGAACAUUAAUAACAUUAUCAAUCUUCUCAUUUCUUGAUAACAAUAUACCAAGUUAAGCAAAACAAGGACACUAAUAACACUAUCAAUCAUCUCAUUUCUUAAUAAUAAUAAUAUCAAAAUUUAGCAAAACAAGACCACUAAUAAACUAUGCAAUCUUCUCAUUUCUUGAUAACAAUAUAACAAAAUUUAAGCAAAACCCAAGAACACUCAUUAACACUAUCAUCUUCUCAUUUCUUGAUAACAACAUAACAAAUUACAAACCCAAGAACACUAAUAACACUAUCAAUCUCACAUUCUUGAUAAGCAAAUAUACAAAAUUUAGCAAACAAGAACAUUAAUAAACUAUCAAUCCUCUCAUUUCUUGAAUAACAAUAUACAAAUAUUCAGCAAAACAAGAACCUAAUAACAACUAUCAAUCUUCUCAUUUCUUGAAUAACAAUAUAAACUAAAAUUCAGCAAGAAGCAAGAACACUAAUAACCACUGUCAAUCCUCUCAAUUUCUGAUAACAAUUCAAAUUAAGCAAAACAAGAAAUAUUAAUAACAUAUCAAUCUUCUCAUUCUUAUAACAAUAUACAAGAAUUUGGCGAAACAAGGAACACCUAAUAACACAGAAUCAAUCAUCGUCAUUUUUAAUAAUAAUAUACAAAAUUUAGCACCACAAGAACACGUAAUAACACUACAAUCUUCUCAUCUUGAAUAACAAUAGUAUAAAUUAGCAAAACAAAGAAUAACUAAUAACGACUAUCACUCUUCGUCUUUCUUGAUAAGAAAAUACAAAAGUUUUAGCAAAACAAGAACAGCUAAUAACACUUUAUCGAAUCUUCACAUUUCUUGAUAACAAUAUACAAAAUUUAGGCAAAACCAAGAACACUAAUAACACUAUCAAUCCUCAUCAUUUCUUGAUAACAAUAUACGAAAUUCAGCAAACAAGAACCUAAUACACUAUCAAUCUUCACAUUUUCUGAUAACCAAUAUAAUAAUUUAUGCAAAACAAGAACACUAAUAACACUAUCCAAUCCUCUCAUUUAUUGAUAACAAUGUACAGAAUUUCAGCAAAGACAAGAACACUAAUAACACUAUCAAUCCUCAUCAUUUCUUCCUUGAUAACAAUAACAAAAUUCAGCAAAACAAGAAACACUAAUAACACUAUCAAUCUUCUCAUUUCUUGAUAACAAUAUACAAAAUUUCAGCAAAACAAGAACACUAUAACACUAUCAAUCCUCUAUUUCUUGAUAAACACAUACAAAAUUUAGCAAACAAAACAUUACUCAAGCAUUAAUCAAUCUUCUCAUUUCUUGAUAACAAACAAAAUUAGCAAAACAAGACACUACUAAUAACCUUUCAAUCUUCUCAUUUCUUGAUAACAAUAUACAAAUUUAGCAAAACAAGACACUAAUAACACUAUCAAUCUUCUCAUUUCUUGAUAACAAAUACAAAAUUUAGCAAAAGAAGAACACUAAAUACACUAUCAAUCUUCUCAUUUCUUGAUACAAUAUACAAAAUUUAGCAAAACAAGAACACUAAUAACAAUUCAUCCUCUCAUUUCUUUGAUAACAAAUACAAAAUUUAGCAAAAACAAGAGAACACUAUAACACUAUCAAUCCUCUCAUUUCUUGAUAACAAUAUACAAAAUUUCAGCAAAACAAGAACCCUAAUACACAUUCAAUCUUCUCAUUCUCUUAUAAACAAUAUACAAAAUUCAGCAAAACAAGAACACUAAUAACACUAUCAAUCCUCUCAUUUCUGAUAACAAUAUACAAAAUUUAGCAAAACAAGAACACUUAAUAACACUAUCAAUCGUUCUCAUUUUGAUAACAAUAUACAAAUUUAGCAACAAAACAAGAACACUAAUAAACAUUAUCAAUCCUCUCAUUCUUUGAUGAACAAUAUACAAAAUUUAGCAAAACAAGAACACUAAUAAACACUAUCAAUCCUCUCAUUUCUUGAAACAAAUAUACAAAAUUCAGCAAAACAAGAACCCUAAUAACACUAUCAAGCUUCUCAUUUCUUGAUAACCAAUAUACAAAAAAUUCAGCAAAACAAGAACACUAAUAACACUAUCAAUCCUCUCAUUUCUUGUAACAAUAUACAAAUUAGCAAAACAAGCAACGAUUAUAACAGUUAUCAAUCUACUCAUUCUUGAUAACAAUAUACAAAAAGUUAGCGAAAACAAGGACACUAAUAACACUAUCAAUAUCUCAUUUCUUUAAUAAUAGAAUAUACAAAAUUAGCCAAACAAGACCCCUAAUAACCACUAUUCAAUCUUCUCAUUCUUGAUAACAAUAUCAAAUUUAGCCGAAAAACAAAGAACACUAAUUACACUAUCAAUCUUUCUCAUUUCUUGAUAAAAACAUACAAAAUUUAGCAAAACAAAGACAUAUAACACUAUUCAUCUUCACAUUCUUAUACAAUAUACCAAUUUAGCAAAACCAAGAAACACUAAAUAACACUAUCAAUCAAACAAGAACACUAAAACACUGAUAAUCUUCUCAUUUCUUAAUAACAAUAUACAAAUUCUAGCAAACAAGACACUAAUAACAUAUCAAUCUUCUCAUUUCUUUAUAAACAAUAUACAAAAUUUAGCAACAAGGAACAUUAAUAACAUAUAAUCUUCUUCAUUUCUGCUAAACAAUAUACAAAAUUUAGCGCAAACAGAACAGCUAAUAACACUUAUCCAAUACUUCUCAUUCUCUAAAUAACCAAUAUAAAAUUUAAACAAACAAGAAUAAUAACACAUAUCAAUCUUCUAUUCUUGAUAACAAUAGAUACAAAUUUGCAAAACAAGAACACAAAUCACUAUCAAUCUCUCAUUCUAUAUGAUAACAAUAUACAUAAAUUUAGCAACAAGAAACAUAUCAACUAUCAUCUCUAUUUCUAUAAACAAUAGAAAAUUUAGCAAAACAAGAACCUAAUAACACUAACAUCCUUCUCAUUUCUGGAUAACAAUAUACAAAUUUAGCAAACAAGAACACUAUCACCAUUAUCAAUCUCUUCAUCUUCUGAUACUUACAUAUUUGCCAAAAGACCAAUGACACAAUAUCUCACAUAAAACGUCAAUUUACAACCGAACACUAAUAACUAUAUCAUCUGUAAAACAAUCUAUAUUACAAAAUGUAACUCCUCUUCUCGAUCAAUUUCAAAUUGAAACGAAAACCUAAUACAUUAUAAUUUCAUUUAUAUCAAGCAAAACAAGAACUUAAAUACAUCUAUCACAGUUCUCUCAUUUUUAUUAACAAUAUACAAAAUUUAGCCAACAAGACACUAUAUAACGCCUCUCUACUAUCAAUAUAAAUCGCAACAAGUAUCUGCAAUUUCUUAUCUAUAACCAUAUACAAUUAGCAAACAAAGAAACAUUAAACAUCUAUCAAUCUUCUCAUUCUUGAUAACGAAUAUACAAAAUUUUAGCGAAAACAAGAAACACUAAUAACACUAUCAAUCUUCUAUUUACUUAGAUAACAAUACACAAAAUUUUAGCAAAACAAGAACACAACAACUAUCAUCUUCUCAUUUUAUAUAACAAUAUACCAAACAUUAGCAAAAAAGAACAUACUAAAACACAUUAUCAUUCCUUCUCAUUUCUUUGAUAACAAUUAUACAAAAUUCAGCCAAAGACAGAGAACCAUAAAACAUAGUCAAUCUUCUCAUUUCUUAAUAACAAAUAGCAAAUUUUAGCAAAACAAGGAACACUAAAUCAAAACACUAAUCAAUUUUCCAAUCUUCAUUUCUUGAUACCAAUAUACAAAAUUUAGCAAAACAAGAACACUAAUAACACUGUCAAUCUUCUCAUUCCUUGAUAACAAUAUACAAAAUUUAGCAAAACAAGAACACUAAUAACACUAUCAAUCCUCUCAUUUCUUAAUAACAAAAUAGAAAAUUUAGCAAAACAAGAACAUUAAUAACACUAUCAAUCUUCUCAUUUCUUGAUAACAAUAUACAAAAUUUAUCAAAACAAGAACACUAAUAACACUAUCAAUCCUCUCAUUUCUUGAUAACAAUAUACAAAAUUCAGCAAAACAAGAACACUAAUAACACUAUCAAUCUUCUCAUUUCUUGAUAACAACAUACAAAAUUUAGCAAAAGAAGAACACUAAUAACACUAUCAAUCUUCAUAUUUCUUGAUAACAAUAUACAUAAUUUAGCAAAACAAGAACACUAAUAACACUAUCAAUCUUCUCAUUUCUUAAUAACAAAAUAGAAAAUUUAGCAAAACAAGAACACUAAUAACACUAUCAAUCUUCUCAUUUCUUGAUAACAAUAUAA